rnacentral:lncRNA from 1 species
CACUAUUAUGCUUCACUGCUUUUAGCGAUGAAGAGGUAGAAGCUGUGUCGCCUAUCCCAGCUUUGCCACCGAAUCACCACCAUCACCAUCACCACAACCAUGUUCACCCACCGAGUCAUGCCCCUGUUGUCUCUCCCAUGCAUGCUCCAGCUCAUGCACCCGUUCACCCACCAAAGCCGCACCCACACCCACACCCAUCGGUUCAGCCUCCCAUGCACUCUCCAAAACCACACCUACCGGUUAAACCACCAGUUCACCCUCCCGUACACUCUGCACCACCAAAGCCAUUAC